AUGCUUGCUUCGGCAGCACAUACACUAAGUUUGGAAGAUACAGAGAAGAUUAGCAUGGCCCCUGCGCAAGGAUGAUACGCAGAUUCGAGAACCCUUCUAUUUUUUA